UACAGAGGGUGCAAGCGUUAAUCGGAAUUACUGGGCGUAAAGCGUGCGUAGACGGUAGCGUAAGUCGGGUGUGAAAGCCCCGGGCUCAACCUGGGAAUUGCAUUCGAGACUGCUCUGCUAGGGUGCGGAAGAGGGAAGCGGAAUUUCCGGUGUAGCGGUGAAAAUGCGUAGAUAUCGGAAAGGAACACCAGUGGCGAAAGCGGCUUCCUGGUCCCAGCACCGACGUCAGGCACGAAAGCGUGGGGAGCAAACAGG
rnacentral:rRNA from 1 species